UUCCCCAUUUGGGGCAGACACAACAAUUCCUCUCCAGGCCUGGCAAUCAAGGACCCCUCACUGCCUCAGGCCAGAGAUGGAAACAAAAGUAGCCCAAAAGGCAUCAGCACCACUCCAAAGAAAAGGCUUCCAAGGAGAGGAAGCCAAGCCUAAAGAGGCAGCCAUGGCCUGGCUGUUCCACGCUGCCCCUUUCUCUCUGCCCGUGCUCAGGAGAGAAUGUACACCCCUUACCCAGUUUCCCCUGCGAGCAAAUACAGAGCAGCAGAUGUUGGCAUGGAAGAAGGGAUUUGCUCUAAACAAACAACCCACUCCCUCCACAAAAAGCUUUGUACCAGACCAAAAUCAAGCACAACCCUCUCACCCCAUCCCCUUCCCUCACCUGCCCCCCCAUAACCCAAAUGCUCAAAGGUCUCUCAGUCAAAACAAAAAGCUGUAGGACUUGAACCACCAGCACUUUA